rnacentral:misc_RNA from 1 species
CCAGGUUGGUUGUGGCACCACCAAACUUUUUGAUCAAGAUUGUUGACAAGGAUGGAGCAAGGGAGUAUGCCUGGCGUGAAUCUGUUAAAAAUGAUGUAGCAGCCUGAAUGUUUCUGCUCUGGGCUAGCAUUUCUUGAUUAUGUUUAAUUUGAGUUGCGAAUAGCGAACGCAACAUUCGACUGCCCAGAACUAGUUUCAAAUG